rnacentral:rRNA from 15 species
GUGACUGCGUACCUUUUGUAUAAUGGGUCAGCGACUUAUAUUCUGUAGCAAGGUUAACCGUAUAGGGGAGCCGGAGGGAAACCGAGUCUUAAUUGGGCGUUAAGUUGCAGGGUAUAGACCCGAAACCCGGUGAUCUAGCCAUGGGCAGGUUGAAGGUUGGGUAACACUAACUGGAGGACCGAACCGACUAAUGUUGAAAAAUUAGCGGAUGACCUGUGGCUGGGGGUGAAAGGCCAAUCAAACCGGGAGAUAGCUGGUUCUCCCCGAAAGCUAUUUAGGUAGCGCCUCGUGAAUUCAUCUCCGGGGGUAGAGCA